GCUCCAGUGGCCUAGUGGUUAAAGUUUCCUAUUUGGACUUGGGAGGUCGUGGGUUCGAGCACCGGCCGAGUG